GCACCCUUAGCUCAGUCGGCUAGAGCGUUCCCUUCACACGGGAGAGGCCACACGUUCGAAUCGUGUAGGGUGCA
rnacentral:tRNA from 1 species